rnacentral:rRNA from 1 species
GCUACAAUGGAGUGGACAAAGGGCUNCAACAUAGUGAUAUGAANCUAAUCCCNNAAACCACUUCUCAGUUCAGAUUGGAGUCUNCAACUCGACUCCAUGAAGCUGGAAUCGCUAGUAAUCGUAGAUCAGCAACGCUACGGUGAAUACGUUCCCGGACCUUGCACACACCGCCCGUCAAGCCAUGGAAGCUGGGUGUACCUAAAGUCGGUAACCGUAAGGANCCGCCUAGGGUAAAACUAGUGACUGGGGCUAAGUCGUAACAAGUAACC